rnacentral:rRNA from 1 species
GACGAACGCUGGCGGCGUGCCUAAUGCAUGCAAGUCGCACGGAGAGCCUUCGGGCUCUGAGUGGCGCACGGCUGAGGAACACGUGGGAAUCUGCCCGACCGUGGGGGAUAACGCGCCGAAAGGCGUGCUAAUCCCGCAUACGCUCGCAAGAGGAAAGCAGCAAUGCGCGGUCGGAGGAGCCUGCGGCCCAUCAGGUAGUUGGCGGGGUAACGGCCCACCAAGCCACUGACGGGUAGCUGGUCUGUGAGGACAACCAGCCAGACUGGGACUGAGACACGGCCCAGACUCCUACGGGAGGCAGCAGCAAGGAAUUUUCGUCAAUGGGCGCAAGCCUGAACGAGCAACGCCGCGUGGAGGAUGACGGCCUUCGGGUUGUAAACGUCCUUUUCCGGGGUACGUGAUAGUGACCGUACCCU